AUGAACUGGAUUUUUAUUACAAUAACUCACUUUGUACCUUUCAUAAUUCCAGGCUCCAGUUUCCUUCCCAUCUGAAAACACACCUGAAUCUUCAGACAGGUCCACGAGGACAAACGUCCCAAAGAAACGGUGCAUUUUGCAGUGAACAUCUGAUCAGAGCGUAUUCCAAAACGACAAAGAAAACCUGAACUGCUGAAACACUGUUAUAAAAGAAAUACAGCGAACAUGUACAUUUUCACUUUAAACUGUUAUAAUUCACAGAGAAAAUACAUUUGAAACCAGUAAAUAUAACAGUGUUUUUCUGGUGAAUUAGCAUGACGACGCUGAAUUUAAACAGAUUGAUUAUUUCAGUCAUUUUUCCUCAAAAUGUAUGAUGUAAUGUUUUCUGCUGUAUUAAUCACAAGAGCUUAACGUGAUAGUAACUUUUAAAUAUUGCAGCUCUGUCAUAAAAUCUGUGGGCUGGGGUGUUGAGGGAGGUGAGUAGGGUGGAGUUGAGGUGGUUGAGCAGAUCAUCAGGUGAGCUGAGGGUUGUGUCCAGGGGGAGAUUAGACGAUAGCAGUUCGGAGAGAUGGUUAUGGUCAAU